rnacentral:rRNA from 1 species
AUUGAACGCUGGCGGCAGGCUUAACACAUGCAAGUCGAGCGGAGAUGAGGUGCUUGCACCUUAUCUUAGCGGCGGACGGGUGAGUAAUGCUUAGGAAUCUGCCUAUUAGUGGGGGACAACAUUCCGAAAGGAAUGCUAAUACCGCAUACGUCCUACGGGAGAAAGCAGGGGAUCUUCGGACCUUGCGCUAAUAGAUGAGCCUAAGUCGGAUUAGCUAGUUGGUGGGGUAAAGGCCUACCAAGGCGACGAUCUGUAGCGGGUCUGAGAGGAUGAUCCGCCACACUGGGACUGAGACACGGCCCAGACUCCUACGGGAGGCAGCAGUGGGGAAUAUUGGACAAGGGGGGAAACCCUGAUCCAGCCAUGCCGCGUGUGUGAAGAAGGCCUUAUGGUUGUAAAGCACUUUAAGCAAGGAGGAGGCUACUGAGACUAAUACUCUUGGAUAGUGGACGUUACUCGCAGAAUAAGCACCGGCUAACUCUGUGCCAGCAGCCGCCGUAACAC